rnacentral:lncRNA from 1 species
CAAAACAAUUAUGCAAAUACCUACUCCAAUACUCAAUUAUUUUUUUGGAAAAGGAAAAUUGGCAUUAAAAGCAAAAAGUCUUGUGUACAAGAUGUUCAGCAAGCUCUAAAUGAUACAUGAUACCAGUUCAAAAAAAAAAUGCACCAAUACAAUGGAACACACUAAGCAAUAGCUAAGGAUACAACAUUAAUAUUACUAAGCAGUUAAGAUACCAGCGACAAUUAUACACCACUUAGCCAUUGCUGAGAAAGAAAAGCAGCAGCAGGCUCCAUCACAUAAGAAUUGCCUCCCUUUCAAAAACUGGACACAAGGUUUACACUAAUAUGAGAACUUACUACUCAAAAUACAAAUACAAACAAAUGAAUAAAACUCAUGAUAGAAGUUACCAACAGAGAUAGUAGUGGUAUAGUUCAAUUUAAAAGCAGUAAAUUAUGCACCUCCUUUAGUUCCAAUUUGAAGCCUAAUAACUAGAGGAAGGUAUAGUUGCGCUUGAUGCUUCGUCAGUUCAAAUUCCCAUUCCACCAUGUUUUUCCCUGAAGUCAAUCAUCUCAAUAAUAGCUUCCUCGGUUCCCAGGCGGUUAGGUCCAGAAAAAAUCUAUAAGAAAAUAUACCAUUACACAUACAAGAAAAUAUAUUGAUUCAAAUAAAUCCAUAUUUCACAAUGUAAAUUGUUUCUACUUACUUCUUUUACGACGGAAAUAUUCCUGGGAAGAUUCUGGUUAUAACUUCCAAAUAGAUAUUCAUCCGACCUGAUCAAUGCACACAGUUUACAACUUUUUCUUAGCCCAAUACACGUACCAAAAUAUAAAUGUGAUAAUAAUUUGAAAUCAAUUUAACAAGCAGUCCAUGUGAAUUAAGUAUACUUUAUCACCUUUGCAUCAAUUUAACAAGCNN